rnacentral:rRNA from 1 species
UCAUUAUAUAAGUUAUCGUUUAUUUGAUAGUACCUUACUACUUGGAUAACCGUGGUAAUUCUAGAGCUAAUACAUGCUAAAAAUCCCGACUUCGGAAGGGAUGUAUUUAUUAGAUUAAAAACCAAUGCCCUCUGGGCUCCUUGGUGAUUCAUGAUAACUCUUCGAAUCGCACGGCCUUGCGCCGGCGAUGGUUCAUUCAAAUUUCUUCCCUAUCAACUUUCGAUGUUUGGGUAUUGGCCAAACAUGGUUGCAACGGGUAACGGAGGGUUAGGGCUCGACCCCGGAGAAGGAGCCUGAGAAACGGCUACUACAUCCAAGGAAGGCAGCAGGCGCGCAAAUUACCCAAUCCCGAUUCGGGGAGGUAGUGACAAUAAAUACUGAUACAGGGCUCUUUUGGGUCUUGUAAUUGGAAUGAGUACAAUUUAAAUCUCUUAACGAGGAACAAUUGGAGGGCAAGUCUGGUGCCAGCAGCCGCGGUGAUUCCAGCUCCAAUAGCGUAUAUUAAAGUUGUUGUGGUUAAAAAGCUCGUAGUUGAACCUUGGGCCUGGCUGGCCGGUCCGCCUCACCGCGUGCACUGGUCCGGCCGGGCCUUUCCCUCUGUGGAACCCCAUGCCCUUCACUGGGCGUGGCGGGGAAACAGGACGUUUACUUUGAAAAAAUUAGAGUGCUCCAGGCAGGCCUAUGCUCGAAUACAUUAGCAUGGAAUAAUGAAAUAGGACGCGUGGUUCUAUUUUGUUGGUUUCUAGGACCGCCGUAAUGAUUAAUAGGGACAGUCGGGGGCAUCAGUAUUCAAUUGUCAGAGGUGAAAUUCUUGGAUUUAUUGAAGACUAACUACUGCGAAAGCAUUUGCCAAGGAUGUUUUCAUUAAUCAGGAACGAAAGUUAGGGGAUCGAAGACGAUCAGAUACCGUCGUAGUCUUAACCAUAAACUAUGCCGACUAGGGAUCGGACGAUGUUAUUUUUUGACGCGUUCGGCACCUUACGAGAAAUCAAAGUGC